UCUGUCAGUUCCUAUCAAAAUCAGUCUGGGCAUGUCAUUAGCCUUUCUGAGCAUUUCUGCAUCCAUAAAAUAAGGGUCCACCACUUCCCUAGUAGCCCGGGAAGACAAAAUAAGACUAACUAUAAAGCUUCUAUUUGACAUUUGGCAAUUAGACUUCCUGAAUGAGGCUGACUUGCUCAUUUGAUAACAUGGACAGUCUUCUAAACUGCCCACUCCCUGAGGCCUGAUUAAGGUGAGACAUAAUUAGAAACUCAACCGGCUGAGUGACAGAUCCUUUCAGAUUCAAGUUCCAUAGAAAAAAAGGUGCAACCCUGCCCUAUGGACAGUUCACACACUGUCUGCCUCCUCCCCCUGGAGUACUUGUAAACACAGUGGUCGGUUAGGGAACUAUAAUUACUUACGGACAGCUAAAAGGCAAAUUAUUCAUAUAGUAUUUUCAACCCUUUCCCUAGUGUCGAAACAUUUCUGAAAGGCAUACAGCCUUUGUGAGCAUCACAGAGAUUGAGAUGGGGUCUAGCUACUCAAAGUAUGGUGGUUGGCCUCCCUACCUCUGACCCCAGCCUCUGCCAGAUGAUCUGCAAGUGCACCGAAAUUUGAGAAGCUCAGAGGAGUCACCUGGGGAGUGGAUGGCCCUAGAGGCCGCAUUCUCCUGACUGCUGCCAGUUCUGCUUGGCUGAGCACCACUGGGCAAGUUACACACCAUCCACACCUUCUCGCACCAUCCCUGUGUUACACUGGAAACUGAAAGGUCUGUGGCUUUAUCUCACUUGCCAGCUAGCUAGUUAGCCUGCCACUCUGUGUGUGUGUGUGUGUGUGUGUGUGUGUGUGUGUGAGAGAGAGAGAGAAGAGAGAGAGAGAAGGCACGCUUGCAUGUCUGUAAGCACAGAAGACAACAGACCUCUGGGACAAAUCCACAGCUAACACUGCACUCAACCACGAAAAGUUGAAAACUUCCCCACUAAGAUCAGGAAUAAGACAAGGAUACCCACUCUCAAAACUCCUAUGUAACACAGCACUGGAAGCUCCAGCCAGAACAAUUAGGCCAGAGAAAAAUAACAGGCAUCUAAGUUGGCAAGGAAGAAGUAGGAGUUCCCAUUGUGGCUCAGUGGUAACAAACCCAACUAGUAUCCAUGAGGAUGCGCGUUUGAUCCCUGGCCUCGCUCAGUGGGUUAAAGAUCCAGUGUUGCUGUGAGCUGUGGUGCAGUAACGCCGGAUCCUUAACCCACUGAGUGAGGCCAAGGAUCGAACCUGCAUCCUCAUGGACACUAAGUUGGGUUCUUAACCCAAUGAGCCACAAUGGGAACGCCCAUUGGGGUAAUUUUAGUUUACUUUUUUAACACCAGGAAGUGCAUUUUUAAAAAAUGUGUUUAUUUUGAAUUUUUAUUUUGUUUACUGGUAUUAUUUGUUUACAAAUAUUUAC
rnacentral:lncRNA from 1 species